UGAGAUCAAAGUUUAGUCCUAACUCUAUAAAGUUCUCAGAUUGCACAUUUUCUAUCUCAAAAUCAAUACUGACAUUUUCUAUCUCAAAAUCAAUUCAAAGCUAUCAUCAUUCAAAAUUUCAACAAGGCAAUCCACAUUUGAGUUAAAAAUAACAGCAUUCAAAUCCACAGGUUCAAUAGCUAAAACUGAAUCAAGAACUUU
rnacentral:lncRNA from 1 species